UCUAAGAAUGAAUUAGCAAAAGCUAGUGCAUUAUCUGAAAAUUGUGGCAUAAUUCUCAUAAUUGUUAAGCUCAUUAUGACGUUGUCGUAUUUUUAACAGGUAUUCGAUUCGAGUUCUACGACCAAGAGCUACGGUAGCCUAACCGUAGGCGAUGCGAGUCGCGAUGACGACUACAGUAGAAGAUGAGGCGCCCAACAUCAUCAUCAAAGGCACGGCGCAAUGCGCGAAGUUGCUCUCGCAUAUUCGAAACAUCACCGACUCGACUCAACUCGUAGAGGGACCGACUGAAAUCCGUCAGUACCUCGAACUUUGGCUGAACCUCCCCUGACAAACUGACGUCAUGAGGCUCUGAAGAGGCAAGCUCCGCAUCAUGUGGGGUUCACGACAACGGCGUACAUAACGGCAUCAUCUGACCAGGGCGACUUUACCGACGACAGCUUCUAAUACCUUAAUGUGUGUUUAUUUAAUAUUCGACAUCAUUAUAUAAUCUUCAUAGAUAAUAUCACUGAUAUAAGUGCGCACUUAUGCAUAACGAAUAUAAUAAUUUUCGCCACGUGUAAUUGGUACAAGGGACGGAGACUAUCGUACACCAAAGUGCUUCACGGUAGUAUUUGUUUACGAGGAAUAUACAUCUUCUGUUUGGGCUUGCUGUAAAGUUCACGAUCACGAAAAGUUUUGCCUUAUUGGAAAAAAGUUGGAUGCUCUAACAUCUGUACGCAAAUACCUUAGACGCAGAGUGGAUAGUCUGAAUGUCAAAUUUGAAAAAUUCGGGUAUUAUCACUAGUUCUACGACCAGUGGUAAAUGGAGGCAUAGGAGUAUAUAGUUUAGUUCGAGGUAAGGAUGUAAUAGGCAGGGUUCAUGCGAACGGUAACAGAUUGAUUAUUUUUAAAAUGAAAAGUAGACAUUGACGGGAGACAGAAGGUAAUAUAUCACUAAUUGACUCCAAGAUUUCUGAACGUUUUAUACUUUUGUUAAUAACUUCUCAUACAAUAAUAAUGUAAUGAUAAAAUUUUCUAAAAAUACCAUGACGACAUUAGCAAAAUUUCAAAAGGGCAUUAAAAUUGCAACUUCGAUCGACAUAGAUGCGCAUUUAUGAAACGAGUAAAAAUAAAGUAUAUAUACUUUCCCCUGUGUGAAUUUGAAGGUAUUUAUCUUGAUGUUAUGGGAACGGUCACACAGGUGAAGGUUUUAAUUAAUCAAUUAUGUUAGUAGUAUAGAAUAUAGAUGCUUACGUUCUCACAGUCGAAAGAAACGGUUGAGAGUCACUUUACAUCAUAUUCAGAUCGGACCUAAAGAAUUGCAACAAUUGGACAUUUACGGGAAAAUUCAACACAAUAAAGAGAUUAACAUACUUUCUCCGAUUCUUUCGAUUCGUGUUAAUGCUAUUCGCCACAUUUCAGAGGAAAUGUCUUAGGGAAGGAUUUUGGAAAUACAUUUUCAGAGAAUGGCAUGUAUACUCUUGAUUGGACUAGAUGUUGUGAUGGCGUUUUGGAUCGCGAUGUUGAGACGGCGCAAGUUUGCUGCAGUUGAGAAUGUCUGUCGGAUCAACUUUAUUAUUCUUACACGAUUGCGGUCAAGCCCUUAUAUUAACAGCUUGGAUGUUCGGAAACUGUUUUAUUGACGCCAAAUGUGACGUUAAAUUUACCGAUUGAGACGACUGACGAGACUGUGUUAUUUACUUUGGCCAAUCGAGUUGGAGUAAAUAGCAUGGCACUUGUCUUCCCGGACUUGACAAUUAAAAACAAGUGCAUGCUCCCGUUAAUUAAGAAAACAUAUAAAUGCGAAAAUACUCACCAAAGGAAUUUCGCCUUAUUUACAAUUUAAUAUUUCUGACUUCAAGGAAAACUCGCUUAGCAAUAAUUACGACAAAUUUAUUGUCGAGAAGUAGCUGAUUCCCGAAACUCGGGAUAGUUAAACAGUUAACAUAAUUGGACAGACUAUCAUAAUUUUCGCCAGAUAUACAUUUAUACACGAUUAUUUACUGAUAUAUAUGUGUCGUAUUUUUGAGAUGUUUGUUCAUGAUUCAUGGCAGUCGCAAUGGUCAAACGGUCAUGGGCAAACCGUGUUUUUUAUACAUAAUAAUACAAAAAUAUGCGGUAGGACGGGUACAGAGAGGGAUUCAUACAAUGACUCGACGCUGCCAAUAAUGUUUGUUGAUCGAAGCGCGGACGGCUGCGUCGGACCGUUGUAUGCCCUCAGUUCGGAUCGUAUGAACAAAGCGAAACUCAUAGACCUCUAUAAAAGCAAUAACUGUUGUGUGUAUUUUGUUCGGAUUACUUUUGUCAUUCGCAAUAUAUUAUAACAGCAACCUAGAAACUACCUCAUGGUGCUCACGGUUAGGUUUCAGGAUCUCCUCGGCCACCCGGCCAAUACACCUUUUCACGGCUAUUUGGAGGCGAUCGCAGAAACUGGACGCGCUUUAUAAAUAUAGAUUAUUUUUUUAUAUCGAUUAACACUCCACUCGUGACAUCUGGAGUGAUACACAACGAGAGUAUUUUUAAAAAUCCGCGAAGUAUUCUGUAAACAAGCAAUAUUAUACAAGUUCAUGACGUUUUUCGUAGUUUUAGAUCUAAGCACGACGCAGGCGCGGCGUUUUUCCUUUAACGACAUUAUAGUUGUUUUCAACUUAUUCUUACCUCACCGCUCAAUAAACUAACGACAGUCUUUUUAUCUGAUCUAACUUCAUUUUUAAGCAGCGGCGGCGUCGUGUUUACGCAGUAAUUUAGCAACGUUAAAAAGUAUGUGCCUUAAAGAGGAUAUUAUUUUAGAGCGCUUUGUAUGUGUACAGACAGCUUAGUAGUGUUUAGCAAAGAUAUAUUACGAUGACGUUAUUUUUAAGAGAGAAGCGAUAGAUUAGAUUUAUUAUUUAACGAUGUAUGAGUAGAUAGCAUCCGUAUUGAUGUUUGUACACAGACAAUGCACACCGUUACAAGUAAGCGAUAUGGCGAAUAUUGUGAUAUGCUAUGCGAGUUCCAUGCACUAGUCGAUAGCCGACCGACACCGGCCGUGACACAUACCCCGGACUUGACUUUAUGGUAUUUUUCAUUUCCACCGGCAUAAUCGCUCUUUACUCAAUGUGUGAAUAAAGUCUAGGUUUAACAUCUCGCAGCUGAUCCGUUGACAGUUUCGUAGUUCUCCGGAGUACUUAGAGUUCAUUACGUUGCGUGGUUUAGGGUACGUGCCUUAGUUUAUUAUAGUGUAGUUUAUGAAAAUAUCAUCAGCCGGUCGCGAUUCACCAUCCAGAGGGCCCGGAGACUUACCCAACUGUCAGUUAUAAUGAGUGCCUCAAGGUUUAACUGCGGCGAUCCAUUGAGUAACAGAGCACAUGUUGGUCAAUUUUAAUUUUAAUAUUGAUUUCGUUGAGUUAUCUUACGAUUAGCGACCAUUUGUUCAAGUGUUAGUUACAUUUUCUAUGAUAAUUUAAUGAUGAGUUCCUGUACGUGUGAUCAUCAGUUAAUUACUUCAUGAUGCGGUUUGAAGUUAGAUAAUGGUCUGACUUAAUACUAUCAGUGCGCAGGCGUCAUCUAACUGGAAGAACAGACGUUUAUAGAUAACUUCAGAUCAUUUUUCAUUAGUAUACAUACUUUAGUAAAAUAUGAAUGCGGUACGAUAUCGUCAAUAACAGUUUCAAUACUUAUUAAGAACGAAUCGAAUGGGCUAACGAAGUGGAAUGAUUUAAUUUCAACGGUAAGAUGUCUAGUUUCAUGUAGCUGUUUCGGAGGAUGGAUGUUUAUAAGUAGCAGUUUUGAGCAAAGAUUUGACGAGGAAGACGUAUUGGUAUUUACUAUUGAGCAGUCCGAGCAAUUGAAACUUGACAUAAAGUUCCUAAGUUGUAUUUGAAGUUCGAUCCGAUAGAAUAUUUUCAACUUUGAUGAUUGAUCCUUUUAACAACUCACCCGCACUAAGUUUAAUCGCUUGUUUCGGCUUAAAAAAUCAAAAAUGCAAUUCAUUGGUUACGUAUGUUAUGUUCCGGAUUAUUUUAUUUGAUUGAAAUGUUUAUGAUGUAUUAUUUACUUAAGUUACGUCAAUUUGUAAGAAUAUCAAUAAUACGUUCCGCUGUUACUGAUGUUAUACUCUUACGUACCGACAGUAAUCUAGGAACGUAAUAUUCUUAUUCACAUACACAAUAAGGAUCGGGAAAUGUGAGCAAAGUAACAGAACGAUUAGUCUUUAGAUAUCUACUUUGAAACAUUAUAAUAAAUAUGAAUAUAUAAUCUCAUAGAAUAAUGGUGGGGCAGCCCACGCUAGUGUUGUGUCCGCGAAAGGAGAUGGUGUCGCUGGAUGUUAGAAGAAGGAUUUUUAGGGUCAAUGCUGUUUGUCGUUCGCGUUAGUUGCAAUUUGUUAUCUCUUGUCCCGACGGACUCGCCAGCAUUAAUGUGUCAACAGACUGUAUAGCGGGUGGCGCGUAGACCUAUACAAGAUUCCAUUGUUGUGAGCGCUCGCAGUUCAUAUUCAAUGUCGACCUGAACCGUAUACGUCUCCAUGUCGUCUGAGUACCUUUUCGAGCCGAUGCGUGCUCUUUCGGAUUGUCAUGUCAUGAGCUUUUAAUACGUUGGAUUUUUUCGAGCGAUGAGGGGAAAUACGAAGGCUAAAUUAUAUACGUCCCGAGCCGAAAGUUGGAUUUAAUAUCCGGAAAAAGGAAUUAAACGAAAGUAUCAAAUUUAAAAAUUGGUGUCACUGGUUCACAGGUCGGACAUAUUCCCCCGACACAACACAGCGUGGAGACUUAGGAUAAUUUAAUUAUACGAAUAUGUAUCUCAAUAUAUCGAUGAUCGAUAUUCUGUACUUUCUUCUUCUAUCUAGAAACUACAGCUCUCUAGCACCUUACUCUGGACCUCACCAUGGAACGUUUCCACCAUUUUAUUACUUUAAACAACUUUUGGACAUGGCCAACUUGCUUUGUAUACUUGUACUCUAAAUCUUAACAAUUUUUAGUCAAGUUGUCAAGUUUUUUAUAAAUUUCCUUUGAAAUAAAAAUGGUUUUCCUGAAUUAUUUUACUUUAGAUUUAAUUUUCUUUUAUAUUUCCGUAUAUAUAAGAUAGUAUAAUUAUUUUUCCUAUUUAACAUCUGAGUGUCUAUAACCGACUUAGUGAAUAAGCACGAAGGUUUCACUCAUGACUUUGAAAAUAACUAAUCCAACUAAUAAAACCGAAUUUCAUACAGAAAUUCGAAGAUUUCACGUUAAAUUCAAAGUCUGAGUAGAAGCAUUUUAACUUUAAAACUGAUAUAACUUAUGCAAUAAAUGAAUAGAAUUA